rnacentral:lncRNA from 1 species
UAAAGCUUUGAUGAGCAUUGUUUAAUUCUAGAGUUCCACAAUACAAGUAAUUUUCCCAAUUUAGCAAUGGUUUGAUGAGGAUUGUUUAAUUCUUUAGUACCACAAUAGAAGUCUAAGCAAUUUAGGCAAAGCUUUGAUGAGCAUUGUUUCAUUCUUGAGUUCCACAUUAGAAGUCUAUGAAAUUUUUCAAAGUAUUGAUGAUCAUUGUUUAAUUCUUGAGUUCCACCAUAAAAGUUGUCUUCGCAAUUUAGCAAAGCUUUGAUGAGCAAUGUUUAAUUCUUAAGUUCCACAAUAGAAUUCUAUGCAAUUUAAGGAAAGCUUUGUUGAGCAUUGUUUCAUUCUUGAGUUCCACAUUAGAUGUCUAUGCAAUUUAGCAAAGUUUUGAUUUGCAUUGUUUAAUUCUUGAGUUCCACAAUAGAUGCAGACUUUGCAAUUUAGCUAAAUUUGAUGAGCAUUGUUAAAUUCUUGAGUUACACAAUAGAAGUCCAUGCAAUUUAAGCAAAGCUUUGACGAACAUUGUUUCAUUCUUUAGUUCCACAUUAGAAGUCUAUGCAAUUUAGCAAAGCUUUGAUGUGUAUUGGUUAAUUCUUGAGUUCCAUAGUAGAAGUAGUCUUCACAAUUUAGCAAAGCUUUAAUCAGCAUUGUUUAAUUCUUGAGUUCCACAAUUGAUGUGGUGUUUUAAGUUUAGCAAAGCUUUUAUGAGCAUUGUUUAAUUCUUGAGUUCCACAAUAGAAGUCUAUGCAAUUUACAAAGGUUUUGAUGAGCAUUGUUUAAUUCUUGAGUUCCACAUUACAAGUAGUCUGCGCUAUUUAGCAAAGCUUUCAUGAGUAUUGUUUAUAUAUUGAGUUCCACAAUAAAAGUCUAUGCAAUUUAAGCAAACCUUUGAUGAGCAUUCUUUCAUUCUUGAGUUCCACAUUAGAAGUCUACGCAAUUUUGCAAAUCUUUGAUGAGUAUUGUUUAAUUCUAGAGUUCCAUAAUAGAUGUAGCCUUCGCAAUUUAGCAAAGCUAUUAUGAGCAUCGUUUAAUUCUUAAGUUCCACAAUAGAAGUCUAUGUAAUUUAAGCAAAGCUUUGUUGAGCAUUGUUUCAUUCUUGGGCUCUAUGUUGCAAGUCUAUGCAAUUUUGCAAAGCACGGAUGAUCAUUGUUUAAUUCUUGAGUUCCAUAAUAUAAAUAGUCUUUGCAAUUUAGCAAAGCUUUGAUGAGCAUUGUUUAAUUCUUGAGUUCCACAAUCGUAUAUGCAAUUUAAGCAAAGCUUUGAUGAGAAUUGUUUGAUACUUGAGUUCCACAUUAGAAGUCUAUGCAAUUUAGCAAAGCUUUGAUGAGCAUUGUUUAAUUCUAGAGUUCCAUAAUUAAAGUAAUCUUCCCAAUUUAGCAAUGGUUUGAUGAGAAUUGUUUAAUUCUUUAGUACCACAAUAGAAGUCUAAGCAAUUUAGGCAAAGCUUUGAUGAGCAUUGUUUCAUUCUUGAGUUCCACAUUAGAAGUCUAUGAAAAUUUUCAAAGUAUUGAUGAUCAUUGUUUAAUUCUUAAGUUCCACAAUAAAAGUUGUCUUCACAAUUUAGCAAAGCCUUGAUGAGCAAUGUUUAAUUCUUAAGUUCCACAAUAGAAGUCUAUGCAAUUUAAGGAAAGCUUUGUUGAGCAUUGUUUCAUUCUUGAGUUCCACAUUAGAUGUCUAUGCAAUUUAGCAAAGCUUUGAUUUGCAUUGUUUAAUUCUUGAGUUCCACAAUAGAUGCAGACUUUGCAAUUUAGCUAAGAUUUAAUGAGCAUUGUUAAAUUCUUGAGUUCCACAAUAAAAGUCUAUAAAAUUUAAGCAAAGCUUUGACGAACAUUGUUUCAUUCUUUAGUUCGACAUUAGAAGUCUAUGCAACUUAGCAAAGCUUUGAUGUGUAUUGGUUAAUUCUUGAGUUCCAUAGUAGAAGUAGUCUUCGCAAUUUAGCAAAACUUUAAUCAGCAUUGUUUAAUUCUUGAGUUCCACAAUUGAUGUGAUGUUUUAAGUUUAGCAAAGCUUUUAUGAGCAUUGUUUAAUUCUUGAGUUCCACAAUAGAAGUCUAUGCAAUUUACAAAGGUUUUGAUGAACAUUGUUUAGUUCUUGAGUUCCACAUUACAAGUAGUCUUCGCUAUUUAGCAAAGCUUUCAUGAGUAUUGUUUUUAUAUUGAGUUCUACAAUAAAAGUAUAUGCAAUUUAAGCAAACCUUUGAUGAGCAUUCUUUCAUUCUUGAGUUCCACAUUAGAAGUCUACGCAAUUUUGCAAAUCUUUGAUGAGUAUUGUUUAAUUCUAGAGUUCCAUAAUAGAUGUAGUCUUCGCAAUUUAUUAAAGCUAUUAUGAGCAUCGUUUAAUUCUUAAGUUCCACAAUAGAAGUCUAUGCAAUUUAAGCAAAGCUUUGUUGAGCAUUGUUUCAUUCUUGGGCUCUACGUUGCAAGUCUAUGCAAUUUCGCAAAGCACUGAUGAGCAUUGUUUAAUUCUUGAGUUCCAUAAUAUAAUUAGUCUUUGCAAUUUAGCAAAGCUUUGAUGAGCAUGUUUAAUUCUUGAGUUCCACAAUCGUAUAUGCAAUUUAAGCAAAGCUUUGAUGAGCAUUGUUUGAUACUUGAGUUUCACAUUAGAAGUCAAUGCAAUUUAGCAAAGCUUUGAUGAGCAUUCUUUAUUUACAGAGUUCCACAAUAAAAGAAAUCUUCGCAAUUUAGCAAAGCUUUGAUGAGUAAUGUUAAAUUCUUAUGUUCCACAAUAGAAGUCUAAGCAAUUUAAGCAAAGAUUUGAUGAGCAUUGUUUCAUUCUUGAGUUCUACAUUAGAAGUCUAUGCAAUUUGGAAAGUUUCGAUGAGCAACGUUUAAUUCUUGAGUUUCACAAUAAAAGUAGUCUUCGCAAUUUAGCAAAGCUUUGAUGAGUAAUGUUAAAUUCUUAUGUUCCACAAUAGAAGUCUAUGCAAUUUAAGGAAACCUUUGUUGAGCAUUGUUUCAUUCUUGAGUUCCACAUUAGAUGUCUAUGCAAUUUAGCAAAGCUUUGAUUUGCAUUGUUUAAUUCCUGAGCUCCACAAUAGAUGUAGACUUUGCAAUUUAGCUAAGAUUUGAUGAGCAUUGUUAAAUUCUUGAGUUCCACAAUAGAAGUCUAUGCAAUUUAAGCAAAGCUUUGACGAACAUUGUUUCAUUCUUUAGUUCCACAUUAGAAGUCUAUGCAACUUAGCAAAGCUUUGAUGUGUAUUGGUUAAUUCUUGAGUUCCAUAGUAGAAGUAGUCUUCGCAAUUUAGCAAAGCUUUAAUCAGCAUUGUUUAAUUCUUGAGUUCCACAAUUGAUGUGGUGUUUUAAGUUUAGCAAAGCUUUUAUGAGCAUUGUUUAAUUCUUGAGUUCCACAAUAGAAGUCUAUGCAAUUUACAAAGGUUUUGAUGAGCAUUGUUUAAUUCUUGAGUUCCACAUUACAAGUAGUCUGCGCUAUUUAGCAAAGCUUUCAUGAGUAUUGUUUAUAUAUUGAGUUCCACAAUAAAAGUCUAUGCAAUUUAAGCAAACCUUUGAUGAGCAUUCUUUCAUUCUUGAGUUCCACAUUAGAAGUCUAUGCAAUUUUGCAAAUCUUUGAUGAGUAUUGUUUAAUUUUAGAGUUCCAUAAUAGAUGUAGUCUUCGCAAUUUAUUAAAGUUAUUAUGAGCAUCGUUUCAUUCUUAAGUUCUACAAUAGAAGUCUAUGUAAUUUAAGCGAAGCUUUGUUGAGCAUUGUUUCAUUCUUGGGCUCUAUGUUGCAAGUCUAUGAAAUUUUUCAAAGCACAGAUGAUCAUUGUUUAAUUCUUGAGUUCUAUAAUAAAAAUAGUAUUUGCAAUUUAGCAAAGCUUUGAUGAGCAUUGUUUAAUUCUUGAGUUCCACAAUCGUAUAUGCAAUUUAUGCAAAGCUUUGAUGAGAAUUGUUUGAUACUUGAGUUCCACAUUAGAAGUCUAUGCACUUUAGCAAAGCAUUAAUAAGAAUUGUUUAAUUCUAGAGUUCCACAAUAGAAGUUAUCUUCCAGAUUUAGCAAUGGUUUGAUGAGGAUUGUUUAAUUCUUUAGUACCACAAUAGAAGUCUAAGAAAUUUAAGCAAAGCUUUGAUAAGCAUUGUUUCAUUCUUGAGUUCCACGUUAGAAGUCUAUGAAAAUUUUCAAAGUAUUGAUGAGCAUUGUUUAAUUCUUGAGUUCCAUAAUAAAAGUUGUCUUCGCAAUUUAGCAAAGCUUUGAUGAGCAAUGUUUAAUUCUUAAGUUCCACAAUAGAAGUCUAUGCAAUUUAAGGAAAGCUUUGUUGAGCAUUGUUUCAUUCUUGAGUUCCACAUUAGAUGUCUAUGCAAUUUAGCAAAGCUUUGAUUUGCAUUGUUUAAUUCUUGAGUUCCACAAUAGAUGCAGACUUUGCAAUUUAGCUAAGAUUUGAUGAGCAUUGUUAAAUUCUUGAGUUCCACAAUAGAAGUCUAUGCAAUUUAAGCAAAGCUUUGACGAACAUUGUUUCAUUCUUUAGUUGCACAUUACAAGUCUAUGCAACUUAGCAAAGCUUUGAUGUGUAUUGGUUAAUUCUUGAGUUCCAUAGUAGAAGUAGUCUUCACAAUUUUGCUAAGCUUUAAUCAGCAUUGUUUAAUUCUUGAGUUCCACAAUUGAUGUCGUGUUUUAAGUUUAGCAAAGCUUUUAUGAGCAUUGUUUAAUUCUUGAGUUCCACAAUAAAAGUUGUCUUCGCAAUUUAGCAAAGCUUUGAUGACCAAUGUUUAAUUCUUAAGUUCCACAAUAGAAGUCUAUGCAAUUUAAGGAAAGCUUUGUUGAGCAUUGUUUCAUUCUUGAGUUCGACAUUAGAUGUCUAUGCAAUUUAGCAAAGCUUUGAUUUGCAUUGUUUAAUUCCUGAGCUCCACAAUAGAUGUAGACUUUGCAAUUUAGCUAAGAUUUGAUGAGCAUUGUUAAAUUCUUGAGUUCCACAAUAGAAGUCUAUGCAAUUUAAGCAAAGCUUUGACGAACAUUGUUUCAUUCUUUAGUUCCACAUUAGAAGUCUAUGCAACUUAGCAAAGCUUUGAUGUGCAUUGGUUAAUUCUUGAGUUCCUUAGUAGAAGUAGUCUUCGUAAUUUAGCAAAGCUUUAAUCAGCAUUGUUUAAUUCUUGAGUUCCACAUUACAGGUAGUCUUCGCUAUUUAGCAAAGCUUUCAUGAGUAUUGUUUAUUUCUUGAGUUCCACAAUAAAAGUCUAUGAAAUUUAAGCAAACCUUUGAUGAGCAUUCUUUCAUUCUUGAGUUCCACAUUAGAAGUCUACGCAAUUUUGCAAAUCUUUGAUGAGUAUUGUUUAAUUCUAGAGUUCCAUAAUAGAUGUAGUCUUCGCAAUUUAUCAAAGCUAUUAUGAGCAUCGUUUAAUUCUUAAGUUCCACAAUAGAAGUCUAUGCAUUUUAAGCAAAGCUUUGUUGAGCAUUGUUUCAUUCUUGGGCUCUACGAUGCAAGUCUAUGCAAUUUCGCGAAGCACUGAUGAACAUUGUUUAAUUCUUGAGUUCCAUAAUAUAAAUAGUCUUUGCAAUUUAGCAAAGCUUUGAUGAGCAUUGUUUAAUUCUUGAGUUCCACAAUCGUAUAUGCAAUUUAAGCAAAGCUUUGAUGAGAAUUGUUUGAUACUUGAGUUCCACAUUAGAAGUCUAUGCACUUUAGCAAAGCUUUAAUGAGCAUUGUUUAAUUCUAGAGCACCACAAAAGAAGUUAUCUUCCCGAUUUAGCAAUGGUUUGAUGAGGAUUGUUUAAUUCUUUAGUACCACAAUAGAAGUCUAAGCAAUUUAAGCAAAGCUUUGAUAAGCAUUGUUUCAUUCUUGAGUUCCACGUUAGAAGUCUAUGAAAAUUUUCAAAGUAUUGAUGAGCAUUGUUUAAUUCUUGAGUUCCACAAUAAAAGUUGUCUUCACAACUUAGCAAAGCCUUGAUGAGCAAUGUUUAAUUCUUAAGUUCCACAAUAGAAGUCUAUGCACUUUAAGAAAAGCAUUGAUGAGCAUUGUUUCAUUCUUGAGAUCCACAUUAGAUGUCUAUGCAAUUUAGCAUAGCUUUGAUUUGCAUUGUUUAAUUCUUGAGUUCCACAAUAGAUGCAGACUUUGCAAUUUAGCUAAGAUUUAAUGAGCAUUGUUAAAUUCUUGAGUUCCACAAUAGAAGUCUAUGAAAUUUAAGCAAAGCUUUGACGAACAUUGUUUCAUUCUUUAGUUGGACAUUAGAAGUCUAUGCAACUUAGCAAAGCUUUGAUGUGUAUUGGUUAAUUCUUGAGUUCCAUAGUAGAAGUAGUCUUCGCAAUUUAGCAAAACUUUAAUCAGCAUUGUUUAAUUCUUGAGUUCCACAAUUGAUGUGGUGUCUUAAGUUUAGCAAAGCUUGUAUGAGCAUUGUUUAAUUCUUGAGUUCCACAAUAGAAGUCUAUGCAAUUUACAAAGGUUUUGAUGAGCAUUGUUUAAUUCUUGAGUUCCACAUUACAAGUAGUCUUCGCUAUUUAGCAAAGCUUUCAUGAGUAUUGCUUAUAUAUUGAGUUCUACAAUAAAAGUCUAUGUAAUUUAAGCAAACCUUUGAUGAGCAUUCUUUCAUUCUUGAGUUCCACAUUAGAAGUCUACGCAAUUUUGCAAAUCUUUGAUGAGUAUUAUUUAAUUCUACAGUUCCAUAAUAGAUGUAGAUUUCGCAAUUUAGCAAAGCUAUUAUGAGCAUAGUUUAAUUCUUAAGUUCCACAAUAGAUGUCUAUGCAAUUUAAGCAAAGCUUUGUUGAGCAUUGUUUCAUUCUUGGGCUCUACGUUGCAAGUCUAUGCAAUUUCGCAAAGCACUAAUGAGCAUUGUUUAAUUCUUGAGUUCCAUAAUAUAAUUAGUCUUUGCAAUUUAGCAAAGCUUUGAUGAGCAUGUUUAAUUCUUGAGUUCCACAAUCGUAUAUGCAAUUUAAGCAAAGCUUUGAUGAGCAUUGUUUGAUACUUGAGUUCCACAUUAGAAGUCAAUGCAAUUUAGCAAAGCUUUGAUGAGCAUUGUUUAUUUACAGAGUUCCACAAUAAAAGAAAUCUUCGCAAUUUAGCAAAGGUUUGAUGAGCAUUGUUUAAAUCUUUAUUUCCAAAAUAGAAGUCUAAGCAAUUUAAGAAAAGAUUUGAUGAGCAUUGUUUCAUUCUUGAGUUCUACAUUAGAAGUCUAUGCAAUUUUGGAAAGUUUCGAUGAGCAACGUUUAAUUCUUGAGUUCCACAAUAAAAGUAGUCUUCGCAAUUUAGCAAAGCUUUGAUGAGCAAUGUUAAAUUCUUAUGUUCCACAAUAGAAGUCUAUGCAAUUUAAGCAAAGCUUUGAUGAACAUUGUUUCAUUCUUUAGUUCCACAUUAGAAGACUAUGCAACUUAGCAAAGCUUUGAUGUGUAUUGGUUAAUUGUUGAGCUCCAUAGUAGAAGUAGUCUUCGCAAUUUAGCAAAGCUUUAAUCAGCAUUGUUUAAUUCUUAAGUUCCACAAUUGAUGUGGUGUUUUAAGUUUAGCAAAGCUUUUAUGAGCAUUGUUUAAUUCUUGAGUUCCACAAUAGAAGUCUAUGCAAUUUACAAAGGUUUUGAUGAGCAUUGUUUAAUUCUUGAGUUCCACAUUACAAGUAGUCUGCGCUAUUUAGCAAAGCUUUCAUGAGUAUUGUUUAUAUAUUGAGUUCCACAAUAAAAGUCUAUGCAAUUUAAGCAAACCUUUGAUGAGCAUUCUUUCAUUCUUGAGUUCCACAUUAGAAGUCUACGCAAUUUUGCAAAUCUUUGAUGAGUAUUGUUUAAUUCUAGAGUUCCAUAAUAGAUGUAGCCUUCGCAAUUUAGCAAAGCUAUUAUGAGCAUCGUUUAAUUCUUAAGUUCCACAAUAGAAGUCUAUGUAAUUUAAGCAAAGCUUUGUUGAGCAUUGUUUCAUUCUUGGGCUCUAUGUUGCAAGUCUAUGCAAUUUUGCAAAGCACGGAUGAUCAUUGUUUAAUUCUUGAGUUCCAUAAUAUAAAUAGUCUUUGCAAUUUAGCAAAGCUUUGAUGAGCAUUGUUUAAUUCUUGAGUUCCACAAUCGUAUAUGCAAUUUAAGCAAAGCUUUGAUGAGAAUUGUUUGAUACUUGAGUUCCACAUUAGAAGUCUACGCACUUUAGCAAAGCUUUAAUGAGCAUUGUUUAAUUCUAGAGUUCCACAAUAGAAGUUAUCUUCCCGAUUUAGCAAUGGUUUGAUGAGGAUUGUUUAAUUCUUUAGUACCACAAUAGAAGUCUAAGAAAUUUAAGCAAAGCUUUGAUAAGCAUUGUUUCAUUCUUGAGUUCCACGUUAGAAGUCUAUGAAAAUUUUCAAAGUAUUGAUGAGCAUUGUUUAAUUCUUGAGUUCCAUAAUAAAAGUUGUCUUCGCAAUUUAGCAAAGCUUUGAUGAGCAAUGUUUAAUUCUUAAGUUCCACAAUAGAAGUCUAUUCAAUUUAAGGAAACCUUUGUUGAGCAUUGUUUCAUUCUUGAGUUCCACAUUAGAUGUCUAUGCAAUUUAGCAAAGCUUUGAUUUGCAUUGUUUAAUUCUUGAGUUCCACAAUAGAUGCAGACUUUGCAAUUUAGCUAAGAUUUGAUGAGCAUUGAUAAAUUCUUGAGUUCCACAAUAGAAGUCUAUGCAAUUUAAGCAAAGCUUUGACGAACAUUGUUUCAUUCUUUAGUUCCACAUUAGAAGUCUAUGCAACUUAGCAAAGCUUUGAUGUGUAUUGGUUAAUUCUUGAG